rnacentral:rRNA from 1 species
UACGUAGGGGGCGAGCGUUGUCCGGAUUUAUUGGGCGUAAAGAGCGUGUAGGCGGUUUGUUAAGUCUACGGUGAAAUCCUGGGGCUCAACCCUGGGCGUGCAGUUGAUACUGCCGGGCUAGAGGGUGGUAGAGGCGAGUAGAAUUCCGAGUGUAGCGGUGAAAUGCGCAGAUAUUCGGAGGAACACCAGUAGCGAAGGCGGCUCGCUGGGCCACACCUGACGCUGAGACGCGAAAGCGUGGGGAGCGAACAGG